rnacentral:lncRNA from 1 species
AAAUGAAAGGCCAGAUCCCAGAUGGAUUGCUUUCUCUUUUAUUUCUUGCAUUAGAACAAUCUCCGCAAGAAGUGACCUACUUUCUCACAAGGCAUUUACUGUCAUAUUUUGACCCAUCUACAGGUAUACUGCCCAUAAUGCUAGUGAUUCUUCUGAGCCUGGGAACAUAACUCAAAACCAAACCCAAACAAAAACCCUAAACUCAUUGUCUUAUCACCUCUCGUGUUUUUUAAAUCCACUGCCACAGCAUAUAAACAGUAAUUGUAUCAUAUUAAUUAUAUACCUACGUAAGUGAUAAAAUGUCAUAAGUAUUGAUCACUACACCAAUGAGCUAAGGUGGGCUCCUUAGCGAAAACAGCAUUGUUCCUGCUGGAUAGCAAAACUUAAGUGACUAGAACCAGAAAAAAUGAAUUCACUGUAUUUUAUUCUUGGUUGUUCUUGUAGCAGACAAUGCAAUCAUACUAUUAUUACUAAUUCUUUGCUGAAAGUCCUCCAGCCACCUGAACGGAGCUCCAGACAUUGUAAUGUGAUUCACAAGGAAAUCAUAACAUCAUGGCAACUACACAGCAAAUUGGAGAAAUUAAGACUGGCCAAUGAAAUUGCAAGAUGGAGCAGAAUUAAGGCAGCUAAAAGGAAGGUACAUCAGUUUUCCACCAGACGGGUUUGGAGAUGGCUUGUUACAACACGUCAGUAAGUCCUUGACUGAAUGCUGUCAACAGAGGAGCUCAGCCUUUCCAUGUCAUGCACCACCCUGCAGGAAGUGGGGCUUUCCACCACACUCAAGACGUUAUCAAGGGCACUAAAUUGCCCCCAAGGAUCCUGGAGAGCAUGAAGGAAUGUGAAUGAAUUGGAAAAGGCAUAGAAAGUGGAGUCUUACCCAAGAAAGACCCUGAACAGUCUGGGCAGUAACAGAGACCAUUUCCAGAAGCCAGAGGAGUUUGAACAGUCUUGAGGGAGGAAGCAGGUCAGUAACGAUGAUGAAGAAAAUAAUAUGACUGAAAACAGAGCACAGAGGAAUGACAAAGACGUUGCACCUUUUUUUUUUUUUUUUAAUUUAAAUAUUUCACCUCGGCCUCCCAAAGUGCUGGGAUUACAGGCCUGGGUCACCACAACCAGCCGCAACUCUUGAUCUUGGAAAAAUGGAGGCAGCUUCAUUGUCAGAGAAGGUCUGGACUUGCUGUUAUUUUUUAUAGCUGUUGAAAUUAUUAGGGCCAAAUUAAUGAAUGGAAAUACAGAGAUAUGAGGAAGUUGCCAAUAAGCGGUUAUAUGAAGGCUUCUGGAAGUGAACUGAUGUGGUAAUCACUUAUAAUGUAUAUGUAUAUCAAAUCAUCACGUUGCACACCUUGAAAAUACACAAUUUUUAUUUGUCAAUCAUGUCUCAAUAAAGCUGGAGAAAAAAAUAAAGUAAACCAGUCUGAAUGGCCACGAUUUGUGCUUUUGGAAGAAAUACAUUAAAGCAGAUAUGCAAGUAUUAUGGUUUUUG